rnacentral:lncRNA from 1 species
GUGACUGUAAGCUGUCCCUAGAUGAGCUGACAGACCCUGGCUGAGCAGGAAGUGGCAGGGUCAGGAAAAGCUAGGCCACAAGUUUUCCCUUGAGAGCCUUAGAGACUGCAUCUCACCAUGUUGCUCAGGCUGUUCUCGAACUCCUGGGCUCAAGCAAUCCUCCUACCUCAGCCUCUCAAAGUGUUGGGAUUAUAGAUGUGAGCCACUGUACCCGGCCCUGGUUGCAUUCUUCAUUAUUAGGAACAUAAGAGUCUAGCCCUGUCGCCCAGGCUGGAGUGCCAUGGUUUGAACUCUACUCACCGCAACCUCCACCUCCCAGGUUCAAAUGAUUCUCCUGCCUCAGCCUCCUGAAUAUCUGGGAUUACAGCCUAGGAAGAGAGAGAAUGCCGAAAGACUUCUAAUGUAUGGAGUUUAAACAUCAGAUGGUGAUUGAUUGCUAUUAAUUUAUGUCAGCAAAGGAGGAGAAGAAAUACGUAAAACUGCCUCUGAAGAAUUUACAUUAAACACCAAAAGAAUCUGACUCUGAAAAUGAAGAAACAAGGAAUAUUGUUUGUUUUGGGAAUCAAAAAAAAAAAAAACUUCCCAUUUGAGUACACAAUUUCCUAAACAAGAUACAUGAUAAUUCCAUACACUAUGCUUUCCGAAGAAACUUUGUAAAACGUAUUUUCAUUAUUCAAAACUUGAAAACACAGAAACAAUAUGAUGCAAAAAAUUAUCUUUAGCAUUAUUCCACUAAGAUAAUUCAUUUUAACAUCCAUAUAUUCAUUAUUAUGUAAAAUACCUAUCAGUAUGUGGGUAUAUCUUUGUGUGUAUAUUUUAACAAAACAAAAUUCAAUAAAAAUUGAAAUACAGAAAUGACAAAAACACACAAAAAAUAUAAAUUAUUUCCAUUGUAGCAUAUAUUACCUUUUUCACCUAACAUUAUACUGUAGGAAUAUAUUCUUUCAUCAUUCAAUGCUUUUGAAAAUAUAAUAAUAUUCCAUUUUAAGGACAUGCUAUAAUUUAGUUCAUUAGUUUUUAAACUUUUAGAUUAUCUCAUUUUGUCAUCAUUUAAAAAAAGUGUUCCUGGAUGUCCUUUUGCAUAGACUUUUGAAUGUAUUUCUGACUAUUUUCUUAACCUGUCCUGUACUUCUGCAAGUAGAACUGCUUGAGCAGAGAUUAGGAGCAAUUUUAAGGUUUUUCAAAAAUCUUGACAAACUAUUCUGCAGGAAAAAUGUAUCUUGUUACCAUCAGCAUUUUUAAGUAACUAGUGACUAAUUGUAAAAAUAAUUGUGUUUCCUUGUAUUUAAGCCUUGCGCUAUAGAUUUUAAAAAUUUGUCCUUUUUUUUUUUUCAUUUGUAAAAAAAAGCCAUCUAAAAGACCUUAGAACCUGGUAUCAGCUGAAGCUUACUAAACCAUAUCAAGAAGAUCAUGUCAUUCUCAAGAAAAGCAUGUUUCAAAUAAAAAGGAAAUGUCAGCCCUGAGCGUUUUUAUUAACCAUCUCCCCAUCUGACUUCAGAGACAGCUUUAGCUGACCACUUCCUCUCUCGGGUUUAUUUGUAUUAGAAAUAAGUGGAUUCAUUAACUGUGCCACUUGGUGGUCAGGCCAGGCCUGCCAGUGUCCAAUAACAGGUAAUGGUUGUAUUUUUCACGGGGUGACUGAUGUUUACUUUGUUGAUGGCCCCAGGAGCUCAUGUAAUCUGAGAUAGGUCUUUGUUUACUUCUUGUUUUACUGAUAUGCUGACCCAUUUGAAACUAGCGAGAAAGAAAAAUAAACAUUCUGGAAUAUGGUACCUGAAGUCACUCUUCCUUAGUGGCUUUAUUGUAACCUCUUCAAAGGCUUUUGUUAACCCACUCUUUUCCCAGCAAAAAACCCUGAUCUGGUCUCUUUUCCAAUUAAACCAAAAGCAAUAUCACACCAAAUAAGCAAACAGAAAAUAUUGAAAUUACCACUUAAAGAGAGUUUUAUCUGGGGUUUAAUUGUGUGUGUACUCAAGCGUUUAGUGUAGGUCAUUUGCUAAUGACAUCUAGUAAUUUUUAAAAACUGGAUAAAACUGAUACUGAGCCUGUCUACAGCAAUUUAACUAUUUUGGGGGAGUAUAAAGUUAGAUUUGUCUAUACUGACUUGUUUGCUCCAUUUUAAAAACUGUGUUGGAAUGAUUUAUUAUGGAUGAUCCAAAAUAAACGUGAAGUGAGGAAACUAUUUUUUAAUUACCACUGGUAGCAUAUUUAAUGGAAUUGUGUUAUUGUGCCAGAAACCUUAUUGAGCUAUAUUUGUUCUAUUAUCUUACUCAUCAGCACAGCAAAAGUUCAUAUUUCAAGGGUGAAGGAAGUGAGGCAUAGAGAGGUUAAAUAAUUCCCCAAAGGCAGAGGGCCGCCAAUUGGUGAAUGUCAGACAUAAUCCCACGCCUGCCUGAGGCCGGAGUCCAUAUUCUUAACAGACAUCCUCUUUUGUCUCCUUAUUUCAUGAUGCCAAAUAUGCAUGACGCUGAUAUAAAGCGUAUAUAUUGGAAUCUGUAUAUUCAAAUGAGCGAUGUCCAUUCAGUCAAACUGGAAGUAUGCCAAUUACCUUCCUAUAUUCAACACUUAGCUCAGAGAUGAUGAGGCACUUCACAGUUGUUUAAUUGCACUGAGCACCCACCCCACAAGCCCAUUUUACUUCUGUUCAAACCAGGUUUGCUAUUCUAAUUUUGGAAUUAUGUUCAUUUGCAAUCUGAGUCACAAGAGUAAAUAAACUUUAUCAGUAUAUCUUUAAAAUUAUGUAUACAUUUAUAAUGUAUUUAUGUAUAGAAAUAUAUAAACACAUUUAUAUAAACACACACAUAUCUCUAUAAAUCCACAUAUUUACACUUGACUACUAAAAAUUAGUUACAAUAUUUGUCUCUUCUAUGUGUUUUCAAAAGUUAUAUUUAAUCCCAAAGAAUUACCAUGAUGAUGUAUGACAGAUUCAAAAAGGAGAUUCAACAGAAUUUGAGGAAUUGUAACACAGUUAGAAAAACAUAGCCCCAAAGCAAACACUUUUAGGGAAUAUUCUUUAUAUUAAGUAUGAGUAUUAAAAAAUUUGAUUAGAAGUGUUUAUAUAUUACUUUAUACUUGUGUAUAUUACAUCCACACCCUGUAUACAUAAUAUAGUUAAUAUAUAUGUGUAUACAUCAUGUAUAUAGGCUGUGAAAGUAAUAUUAAUAUAUGAAUAAGUACAUAUGUACAUUUAAAAAUUGUAUGUACUCAAAAUGCAUAUUUUUUCAGAAGACUGACAAUUACAUUCUAGCACAAAACUUAUUCAAAACCUCUAGUCCAUAAGACAUGAGAAUCAGCAGGUUCCACUUGUGCCCCGUGGGUCUGUAGCCGAUUCAGGGUGGCAACUGCCACAUCUUCCCCUCCUGAUUUAUUUGCUUUCGGUCAGUUUGGCAGCUGCCCCCACAACAGCCUGAGAACGCAAUCUAUACUUCACAGAAAGGCAUUUGGAAUAGAAGAGGGUUUCUGAGGGCAUUUAAAAAAAUAAAUGAAAUAAAGAUGUUGCUAAAAGCUAUCCUCUCAGAUUCACAAGGCUGACAGGAAAACAAAGUUUCAACUUGCAAACAGCAUGAACUGGCCAAGUGGUUUGCUCUGUCAUGGACAGCAGCAAGGCUGGCAUGCAGUCUUGCUGUGCUCACACUAUUGGCCCUGUGAAAACUCAGGCCAGAUCUCCUGUCCAGACAAGAGCCUGGGUUAUUGGGAGAAAAAUCCAUUUUAACUAUUACAUUCAUUUUCAUUUUUCCAGGAAUACAAUCCAAAAUCGCAGGGAGCACUUGGAAACAAUUCUUGGCAACUGUAUUCAGUUGAAGAAACUCAGAAUAUGAAAGCAUUAACAUAGAGUGCAACCAAAACACAAAUAAGAAUCACCCAAGCUGGGCUACAAGAAUAGCUACUGUUUACUCUGAGUGGAUAUUUAUGAAGAGCCGUAGUAAGAAAGAUCUUUUUGAUGAUAACAGAGCGGUGUAUGGCAUGAUAUUAAUUCUGCCUCAUUAGUGAAAUGAAAAACUCUGAGAUAGGUGUGACAAAGAAAAUUAUCACUGUUUCUCAUUCAGUGUUAAUUUCGCUUCUUGAAUUAAAUUCUGCUCAUUCUCUUCGGUGCAUUUAAAAUUAUUCCUUUCUUUUGAUACAUAUAUAUAUCUAUAUCCUAUGGAAUACUACUCAGGCAUAAAAAUGAAUGAAAUCAUGUGUUUUGCAGCAGCAUGGAUGAAUCUGGAGGCCAUCAUCCUAAGUGAAAUAACUCAGAAACAUGUUCUCACUUAUAUCACAAAUAUCUCACUCACAAAUAUCACAUGUUCUCACUUAUAAGUGGGAGCUAAACAGUUAAUACACAUGGACAUAGAGAGUGGAAUAAUAGGCAUUGGAGAACUCCAAAAGAAGGAAAAGUGGGAGCAGGGGUGAGAAAUGAGAAAUUACUUCAUGGGUACAGUAUACAUAUUCAAGUGAUGGGUACACUAAAAGUGCAGAAUUCACCACAAUGCAAUAUAUCCAUGUAACAAAACUGCACUUGUACCCCCCAAAUCUAUACACAUGAAAAAAAAUUGUUCCUUUCCAAUAUCAGCAUGUAUUAGAAUCAGGAAUGGUUUAUACAUUAAACACUAUAAGCACAGCCCUUAUGGAAUGUGAGCCUUUUGAAGAUACAUUAUUUGGAUAGAGCUUGAAUUUUUUUUUUUAAAAAAGAACAAUAAUAGUAACAUGCAUUGAGUGUUUACUUUGUACCAGGUAUGCUAUGAGGGUUUUACAUCCAUUAACUCUCUUGAUCCCCACACCACCCUUUGGGCAAGGUACUUAAAUUAUCAUCAUAUGCAAAACUUGACAUGUAGAGAGAAUAAGGAACUCGCUCAAGGUUAGACUGAUAAUAAGUGACGGAGCUGAUCUUCUAACCCCUGGAGUUGACUUUGCCACCACACUGCCUUCUCACACAUGUUCAGAACUCUCAAUCUUUUCUCAACAGAAGAACCCCAAAGUCUGUUUUGUGUCUUUUUCUAUUCAAACACCCAGACAGAGGGAAGAGCAAAGGUCCUAUGGCCCAGGGAAGUCUGGCUUGAUGGAGAAAAUGAAAGCUGAUAGAUGUGGAUGAAAAAACAAACUGCGGUCAAACUAACAUGAAAAAAGGGCCAACUAGGUAGGACCUUACCGGGUAGGUCCAGAUUUUGAUCUUUAACCUUGGAACAAUGAGAAGCCCAUGAGGCAUUUAGCCAAUUAACGGUUUAUAAAGUUCACUUUGGAAGCAAUUAGAAAAUCAGCAUGAAAUGGAGGGGGCUGAGUGGAUAUCAGGAGAAGGCUGAGGCUAACUCAGCAGCCCAGGAAGAGAAGCAAGGUCUUAGAUUAAGGGACUGGUGAUGUGAGAGUGUUCAGUGAAGCUCAGGCAGCCUCCGCUUCUUGGGGCUGACCCUGCUUGGAAGCCAAGGAGGUCCGGUUGUUGGUGUGUAGAUGCCCUCAAUAUGAUACUUUUGCUUAAGAAAUAAUUUUUCCCAUUCCAAUUUUUUAAUGCAAAAUUCUACUGAUUUUUAAUGUAAUUCAUGGAUAUCAUUCUAGAACAUGAUUUAAGCCAUUUGAAGUUUAUAAGAAAACAUAGGAAAAAAUUACAUGUUAAAUUUGGCAUGAUACGUAAUGAGACUAACAGAAUUAGUAAUUUUUUCUCUUGGAUCCCUCCUUCCAUAGUUAAUAAUAAUAAUCAUAAUAAAUCUGGCCUGGAACAAUAAUGAAAAAGUUAAACCAACACAAAAUCAUUAGGCUGUUUGCUUUUCUUGAGUUCCACCCAACAUAUGACUUCAGUAUUUUCACAAGGAUUAGGAUCACUUUCUAUAUAAAUCUCUAUUGCAUCAUUAGCUUUCAGGUAGUUGAAAAAUUUCAGUAUAAUUUGUAAUAGUUUUGACUUGAUAAAUUUCCUAUUUGCAUUUAAUUUGCUACAUUUUAUAAUAUCUGCAGAAAGACUCUAAAGUAUAUGUCCAAUUUUUCUUAAUAGAAAAAAAUACUAGCUUGUCAAAGCUUUAUUUGAAAUGUACAGCUUGAUUAUAAAUUACAAGAAAUUAAAGUGUGGGUUUCACUGACUACUUAAUACUGAGUAGCCUUAGCCCAUGUUUUGACCUAAUAAUCUGCCAGAUUUCUCCUCAAGUAUACUUAACACUUGUUGAAAGAAAGUUUAUUAAGAUUUCCAUUAGGAAUGACUGCUACUGGGAAAUAUAAUUUAUAGGACUGUCUGUUACAGAAAUAAAGCAAGCCAGAUUGAUCCAGGAUUCAAAAGAGUAUUGUUUGUAUCCACAAUAAACCAAUAAAAUCUUUCUAAAUGUGUUUCUGUUUAUACUUCCAAAGAGCAUUGCUGGAAAGCUCAAAGAUACGUGAUUUUUCUGUACUACUAUUUAAGAGCAUGUUUAUUAAAGUUGUUAUUUUUCUAGGGCAACUUUUGUUUACAAAUGAUGUAAAAAUAGUGCCCAAAGAUACUGACUAACUGCAAUGACUGUAUUUGUGGUAGUAGGUGUGACCCAAGUGAGAGCCCAAGACAAAAAGCAAAACAAGAAAACAAAGACAGAGGAUUAUGGUCUCAAAUCCUACACAAAACUUGGGAAGAACUGCUGUCCUUUCUUUGUCAGCAGAAUUCUCUAAAAGCCACAUGUUUAUUUUUGGCCUAUAGGGAGUUUAGUGCGGCUCAUUGUUUGUACAAAGCUAUUUCAGUGACUGAUUAUUAUUAAUUACCCUCCUGAAAGAACGUCAAGUCAGACAGGACUCAAGUUUCAGAACUAAGGUAUGUAACAGCCCUUCCCGUUUGACUAGGAUGAUCCUGAUGGUGGCUUUUUUGUGUACCCACGGGCAAGGCCAAAAUGGCCUGACUGGGCCCAGGGCCUUCGUGGGCUGUCCUGUAUGGCACCCCUAGUGAGGAGGAAACAUUUUACUUACGUGUGACAUUUACUCAGAAACCUGACUAUAAGUAUGGUGAAUGUAUGGUUUAUGGCAUAAACAGCAACAUGUUUGUGAAGUAAAGAUGGCGUUCUUCAUAACAAUGGCGGUUCAACCAGCAUGAACUAGAACUGUCCUGGGAAAACUAGAAAACACAACUGAGGACCGAGAAACAAAAGGUCUCAUGUAUACCCCAAAAUGGUAUUAAAAAGAGACAAAAUACUAAAGUAUAAAUAGCUUAUUAUAAGACACAAUUUUGAGCAUGCUUUCUUUACUUUAGAUACAAUUUGCAAAAUCUUCCCUGUAGCUUUAUGUCAGUCCAGGGCCGCUGAUUAUGAAAUUGCAAAUUUGAAGAAUGAGGUGGCUUCCUUAAUAAGUAGCAGUUGAUAACCGCUAAGGAAGCAUGAACAACAAAAGUGGCCAAAUCAAAAGGCACAAGAAGUGUUCAAAGUAAACCAAAAUUUAGGAGCUACAGUUUUAUUUCAUAAGUGAAAAUUUAGUAAGCCUCAAAAACAUCACAUAGAGUGUCUGUCUGGGCUGCAAGACCCUGAAGUGGCAACUCCAUUUCCAAACUUUGCAUCAAAAUAUUCCAAUCUGAAUGGGCUUUUAUUUUCUGAGAGGAUGAGUUAAAUCAAUUUACAUGUGUUGAUUGAGUUCUUAUCACUUGUUUAAGAAGUGUGUCACUUUCCAGGUAUCCUAUGUCUUCCCCUUGAUUUCGAAAGUCACCAGGCAAGAGAAUUAGAUCCAUUCAGUUUAAAUUUAUGAUUUUCUAUACUCAGAAAAACCCCAUUUUAAAAAGUAUAAUAUAGUUCCUUUUCCCCAAGAUUUUUCUAUAUUUUCCACAUAUUUUUUAAAAAUGUAAUUGGUCAUCUUAUUAAAAUUCAUAAAUAGAAUAGAUGAGUAAAUAGAGAAUUUAAAAAUAGAAUGAGUGAGCCGGCCGGGCCCAGUGGCUCACGCCUGUAAUCCCAGCACUUUGGGAGGCCGAGGCGGGUGGAUCACGAGGUCAGGAGAUUGAGACCACGGUGAAACCCCGUCUCUACUAAAAAUACAAAAAAUUAGCCGGGCGUGGUGGCGGGCACCUGUAGUCCCAGCUACUUGGGAGGCUGAGGCAGGAGAAUGGCGUGAACCCUGGAGGCGGAGCUUGCAGUGAACCCAGAUCGCGC